rnacentral:lncRNA from 1 species
GAAAAAUGAGAAGUUUUGAUGUUAUCUCCUUAUUAAUUCAACUUUGUCUUGUACUUCUGUAAUAUUGUGAUUCUAUUAUUAAGCUACACAAAUUCCAAGGAAAUCCAGCAGACAAGCCCAAAGAAUGGAAAAUAAAUUAUUGAGCAAAUAGUCAUUCUGAGACAGGAAAGUCAAGAGUACCACCACCCUGAGGA